UUACUCUGUACGUGUUGUGGUGUGGGUCUGUGGGACAUUAAUGAUUGCUACACUGCCACAAACAAAGCAGUCUAGCUUCGAAAACAGAGUCCCUUUUAAAUUGCCAACGUAACCACCCAAAAGGAUUUAUUUACCCCUCUAGUGAAUGCGGCCAGUGAGUUCUCACGGCAUGCUCAACAUCAUUAAAGGCCUGUAGAAAAAAGGGAACAUUUGCUCUGGUACUUUCGACUGGAGCAAGUAAGAAGCAUAUUUGGAGUGAAUCCUGACGUGGAGUUUACACGUGUUCUUUUUCUUUCAUUAACACCAAGGUCUGCAGCCUUUUGUCUAAGAAUAUCGGUGUCGUGUCGCAGGGAGAACUUGGAGCAAGAGUUGCAGGGCCUUAGCCAAGCUAGAAGAGGUCAAGGGACAUGGCCACCUUCUGGACUCCUCUUCCCCCCCAGCAAAAGAAGAUGGCUGGAACAAAUCCGGUGGCUCCCAUUGGACGGAAAAAGUUGAGAACUAUUUUAGUAGACUUUUGUCUUUUGCAUUUUUUAAUGCACAUUAUUUAAAAUCUUUGUUUUGAUUGUUUAUUUUUAAACAUCCUGUUAAAUUCCUUUUUUUGUUGUUGCUGGAAUUAAAUCAUUUAAACAACUGUAGGUAUAUUUUUAUUAACAUAGGCCCACUGAUUUUUAUUAAUUUUUUCAUUAGUAGAUCAUAAACUUUUUUUUUUUGGAACAAUUGUUUAUUGUAGUCUAAACUUCGGUUUCUAUACAUCUACUGUAUGUUUUCAUAUAAAUGACAUGGCUUUAUAAAUGACACUUUUUUUUUUUUUUUUUGUCCUGUCCAGCUUCUCAGGCAAAUCAUAUAGUAGUUGUAGAUGCCCAUAUCGGCUGUUCAGAUUUACUUUACAAAAGAAAAGUGUAGGAUACUUCUCUUGUUGCCUUAUUUGUAUUUGACUUUAUUAAAUGUAUUUAUAUUAUCAUUUGGUGCAGCCGGGCCGGAGCAGGAAGGGAUAGAAAGAGAAAAAAAGGAAGACGGGGGAAUUGUGGGGACAAGAGGGGGGUUAGACAGAGAGACAAAAACAACAACAGCAAACACAACAACAACAAUAGAGCAACAUCAGCAAAUAUGACAUGUACAAAUAUGAUGGUAAAAGUAAUAGCAAAUAAGCAGUUGGCGAAAAUAAAAAAUAAUACAGAAAUGACAAUGAACAUUAUUACACUACAAAUGGAGCAAUACAAAUACCAAUAGAAAUAGUGCUAUUGAUAAUGAACAAUACCAAUACUUUACCUUUAUUAUCAACAAUACAGUUGUUCAAAUGCAACAAUACAUAUACCUGUACGUAAUGAUAAUUUGAGAUACGAAAGAAUGUAGAAAAAUGGAGGGGAAGAAAGAGAAGCAACCUACAUUAACCUUGUAGAUUGUUAUAGUAAAAAUAGGUUAAGCUUUGUCAGUGUGCCAUGUGUUAUACCCAGUUUACCCUAGGGCAACAACAUUAAUAUGUUUGAUGAAACGUGAUUAUGUGCAUGAGUGUAUGUGUGCAUAUGUACUUGUAAAAAAAAAAAAGACACUUAUUCAUUGUUAGAUGUGAACUUGUAUCAAUAAAAGGAUGGAACAAUCAA